GACGAACGCUGGCGGCGUGCCUAAUACAUGCAAGUCGAGCGAACCAAUAAGAAGCUUGCUUUUUGUUGGUUAGCGGCGGACGGGUGAGUAACACGUGGGUAACCUGCCUGUAAGACCGGGAUAACUCCGGGAAACCGGUGCUAAUACCGGAUAGAUUAUCUUUCCGCAUGGAGAGAUAAGGAAAGAUGGCUAUUGCCAUCACUUACAGAUGAGCCCGCGGCGCAUUAGCUAGUUGGUGAGGUAACGGCUCACCAAGGCGACGAUGCGUAGCCGACCUGAGAGGGUGAUCGGCCACACUGGGACUGAGACACGGCCCAGACUCCUACGGGAGGCAGCAGUAGGGAAUCUUCCGCAAUGGACGAAAGUCUGACGGAGCAACGCCGCGUGAGCGAAGAAGGUCUUCGGAUCGUAAAGCUCUGUUGUUAGGGAAGAACAAGUAUCGGAGGAAAUGCCGGUACCUUGACGGUACCUGACGAGAAAGCCACGGCUAACUACGUG
rnacentral:rRNA from 1 species